rnacentral:rRNA from 1 species
AUUGAACGCUGGCGGAAGGCCUAACACAUGCAAGUCGAACGAGUGGCGGACGGGUGAGUAAUGUCUGGGAACAUGCCCGAUAGAGGGGGAUAACUACUGGAAACAGUAGCUAAUACCGCAUACCAUCGGAGCGGACCAUAUGGGAUUAGCUAGUAGGUGGGGUAAAGGCUCACCUAGGCGACGAUCCCUAGCUGGUCUGAGAGGAAGACCCGCCACACUGGAACUGAGACACGGUCCAGACUCCUACGGUAGGCAGCAGUGGGGAAUAUUGCACAAUGGGGGCAAGCCUGAUGCAGCCAUGCCGCGUGUAUGAUGAAGGCCUUCGGGUUGUAAAGUACUUUCAGCAGAGAAGCGGUACCUGCAGAAUAAGCACCGGCUAACUCCGUGCCAGCAGCCGCGGUAAUUC